rnacentral:lncRNA from 1 species
AGCCUCCCAAAGUGCUGGGAUGACAGGCAUGAGCCACCAUGCCAGGCCUAUUUUUUUUUUAAUCCAAACCACUUACUAUCAAACUCCACUCUGCUUCUGACCUGCAAGGGGUGUGUGUGUGUGUGUGUGUGUGUGUGUGUGUGUGUGUGUGUGUCUGUGUGUCUGUGUCUUUGAUGUUAUAUGCUGCUAUAUGUAUUGGGGGAAGAGAAGUUCCCCCAUUCUCUCCUCAGCCUCACUUCCUCAUUUGAGGCUGCUGAGGAGAAACCCACAGGGACCCAGGGGCACAGGGGCCUGCCUGGGGCUUUGAGGGGAGCUGGGGAUGUCCAGCGGAGUGGGGUGGCCCUGCUGAGGCAGCUGUCCUUGGUGCCCUGUUCACCGAGGCCUGGGGACUCUGCAGGACACGCUGGUCAGAAUGUGCUUCUGGCUGUGGUCAUAGACGGGUGUGAGUCAGCCCCAGGAGACAUACUUUGCCAAAGAAAUGCACUUCCUCUCCUGCCUCUCCUCUCUUUAGCUGCAGCUGUUCUGAGCUGUUGCCUUUGACCCACUGUGAACUGGGAAGAGCACCCAUCCCCUCCCACUGGCCAGGCCUCUAGCUCAGCCCUGAGGACCCCAACCCAGGCCCGGUAGCAUCUUCAAGGCUUUUGGCUCCAUAAGGUCACCCACAUGGCGGGCAGCCUCCCGACCCAGGCCAGUGACCCCUGUAGAGAGCAAGACAGAAACCAGAAAAGCUCCUGGAAGCCAGAAGCAAAACUCCACAUCCGUGGGCAGGAGCCUCGCAGCAGGAAUGGGUAGGAAGGAGCCAGCUGGCCUACUUGACUAUAUUGGCAGCCGUUCCAGCCAUUUAGGUCCUAGAGGGAUUUGCUUGUCAUCUAUUUGUGGAGCACCCUCUGUGUCCUAGACACUGACUAGGCAUCCAGGAUCCAGUGGGGACAGACACACAGGACCCUGCUCUCGUGGACCACACAUGCGAGGGGAGAGACAGCCCAUGCUCUAGUGCCAGAGGGUACUGGGUGGGCCUUUUCUGCUGCUCGAAUGGGUGGCCGGACUCAGAGCUAAGGAAAAAGGGCCUUGAGUACCCCAUAUUCUAAAACAAAGGAACCAUUUGAGACUAGGCCCAUUUGCCUACAGGAUUUAUUAAGAGAUGGUUAAAGCAAUUCUGCUAUGCCCCCAAAUCUCCCAGCACCCCCUUCCUCAGUCUCCAUAAGCAGAAGACCAGGACAGGGGAAGGAAGAGAGAGGGAGAUGGGUCACUGGAGUCCUGGGGUGCUGACUCCCUCCCCUCCUCUCCCUGGAUCUGGAUUUGCUGUUGAGAUCAGCCCACGCGCCAUCUGGACAGGGAGGUUGGGGGAGGGCAGGAUUGAAGAGGCAGAGACAGACAGGGCAGGGACUCCUUGGGGCACCCAGCAGUCGUUGCCCAUGGGUCAGGUGGACAUGGCGGAAGGUGCAUGUCCUUGAGCUGUCUUGUCCAUGUCCUCCCAAGAGGGAGGCCUGCAGCUGUGCAGACCCACAGUCGGUAGGCUGUUGGGUGGAGGUUGGGGCAGUGGCUGAGUGGUGGGGUGAGAGAUAUAGAGCUGAAGGGACCUCUCACAUCAGGGAACAGUGGUGCGAGGUGGCCCUGUGGUGAACCCACAAGAGAGUUAGCAUCUGAACGCCAUCAUGCCGGGAACAUUCAUAGCCAGAGAAGAAAUGGCCACAGCUGACAGGGACUUUCCUGAAAGCUCUCCCUCCCCAUCUGUGUGAAAGAAGAGAAAAGGGGAGAGAAAAGGAGGAGGAGAGAGAGAGAGGAGUGGGGGUACAGGGGCAAACUACACCCCUCCCCACUCCCCUGGGCCAAAUCCAGACCCUGCCUGGGGAAGGGAAAUGGUUAGUCUUGGUUAGAUGGACCAGCCUAGAUGGGGCUGGGCCUUUAAUAAGCUAAAGCAACAGGAAUACUAGAAGAUCUGCCCAAGAUACUGUUACGGGACAGAAAAAGGAGAACCAACAUAGUUCAUCUAGAAGCAAUGAUGGAAGGGGGAAAAAAACUUGCUCAAUAAGCAAGUUACCCAUAUAAACAAAUACAUUAAUAAGAAAAUGUCUUGCUGCCAAAAUGCGUUCUCUCAUAUUAGAGAUGCUCUUGAAUUAUUUUACAUUCCUCCUCUUAAGAGGUGAAGUGUCUUCCCUCUGUUUGAAUCUGAAUUGGCCUGGGUCUGCGUUGAUCAGUAGACUAUAGCAGAAGAGACCCUAUACUUGUUUCAAGUCUAGCUUUCAAGAGGACUGGCAGCUUCUGCCUUGGUCUGUUGGAACCCUAUGCUAUCAUGUAAGAUGUCCAACUACCCUGAGGUCACCAUGUUGGAAGGAAGCUCAAGCUGGCCGUAUAGAGAUGUGGAAAAAGAGAGAGAGAGAGAGACUCAGCCAACCCCAAGCUAUUCCAACCCGCAGCCAUUACAGUUAUCUUAGCAGAUGCCCCAGAUCUUACAGAGCAAAGACAAGCUGUAUCCACUGUGCCGUUUGAUUUCCUUGAUGCACAGAAACAUAAAAUACUAUAAUAACAAAUUGUUUUGAGGUAGUUUGUUAUGCAGCAAUAAGAAACCAGAACAGAAAAUAAGGAAAGGUGAAGAGAUAGCGUUGGGGGGAAGGUACUCUAGGUCAGGAGGUUAUGGAUGGCAUCUCUGUGGAGAUGACAUUGAUGGUAAAGUUUGAAGGACAAGAAGGAGUUGGUCAUGUAAAGAUCAGGGAUAAGAGCACUCCAGAGGGCACAGCUGGUGGAAAGUGCUGGAAGGAACCCCAGUGUGGCUGGAGCAUGAUGGGCAGGGAGGGGGGAUAUGGGAUGUGAUGUUGGAAGUAGCCAGGGGCCAGACCAUAAAGGGCUUUGCAAGUCAGGGUAAGGAGUUCAAAUUUUGUUAUAAUGUGAGAUAAACCACUGCAGAGUUUCAAACAGGGGAAUGAAAUGACAUUAGAUACAUUUUUUUCUUUUUGAGACAGGGUUUCACUCUGUCACCCAUGCUAGAGUGCAGUGGCACAAUCUCCGCUCACUGCAGCCUCCACCUGCCGGGUUCAAGCGAUUCUCAUGCCUCAGCCUCCUGAGUAGCUAGGACUACAGGUGCACACCACCACACCUGGCUAAUUUUUGUGUUUUUAUUAGAGACAGGGUUUUGCCAUGUUGGCCAGGCUGGUCUCAAACUCCUGACCUCAAGUGAUCCACCCACCUCAGCCUCCCAAAGUGUUAGGAUUACAGGCGUGAGCCACCACACCCAGCCAUUAGGUACAUUUUUGAACAAUCACUCCACCCACUAUGUGGAAAAUGGUCUCUAGGAGUGUAAAACUUAGAGUACAAAUACCACUUCAAAGGCUGUGGAGAAGCCAGGCAACCAAUUAUGGUGGUUUGGUCUAGGGAGAAGUAACAAGGAUAGAGAGAAGUAGAUUGUUUGGUCUUAAUCAUGCACGUGGGCUGGUAACCCUGAUCAUUUAUUCACUCAUGAGCAUUUUUUGAGUCUACAAGGCCUAGGUAUUUUGUAGUAGAUACAUGUAUGACAGGGCAAAGUAUAUUAGCAAGCAAAAGUCUUCCCUACCUACUAAAGAAAAUUCUAUUCUGCAAUAAAUAAGGGGAAUAAGGAGAGAGAUCACAGCUGGAGGGCUAAGCUGGUCUACCUAACAGCUAGGAAAGAGAAAGCAAGCAGGUAGGCAGAGGGAAAUAAAAGGCCUCGGGGCUGGGACUAGAGAAGGAGUUUGGGGUUUUGCUGUGGAGUCUCUAUUGAUAUAAGACAGUUUGAGAAGGGCUUUGAGGAAGCACUGUCAUGCUCCCUAACAUUGCAGGCCCGAAUGUUCUUUGAGAGACGCCCACUCAGUGAGACACUAGGCAGAGACUGAACCCAGGGGAGCACCUCGAUUAGCUAGGGUUACGCAGAGAGAAAUAAGACAUUGUCGCUGACCUUAAAAAGUUCGUCAGCGGAAUCAGAUAUACACAGGUGAUUAGAAUAGAAGGAAAGCAGGCCAUGUAGCUAAAAGAAUGCAGCUGAAGAGCUGCUAAAGCCACCUGAGAUGACCUGCAGCUGGGGAACAUCAGAACUGGCUUUGCAAAGCUGGUGGCAUUUGAGCUGUGACUUGAAGAGUAGGCAAGAUUUGGGUCUGGGGAGAUGACUGGGGAAGCCAUUCUAGGUGGAGGCAACCCAUUAACAAAGACCCCAGAGCUGGCAAAACCCCUACCUGUACAGGGACUCUCCAGCGGUUCAGUUUGGCUGAUGCUUAAGGCAGGUGAAUCAGAGGGUGAUGGCUAAGGCUGGUAGGCGGGCUGGGCCCCGGGUGCCAUGCUGGGGAGUUAGGGCUGUGCUAGGCUGCAAGAGGCAUGUUUUUUAAACAAUAACGUGGCCGGGCACGUCAGGGUCCAACCUGGGGGGGUGCUGCAAGUCCCCAUGUCAGAACCUGGGGUGCACCCUGGAGCUGUCGCUCCUGGAUUAGCCGGAAAUACAGCUUCUCUCCAGACAUGGGAGAGGCAAAGGAGGUCACAGGACUUUCCUCUCACAUCCAAACCCAGGAGGCUCUGGGUGCCUGGGAUCCUUCUUAGGAACCAGCCCUGGCCAGUCAAGAUGAGCUCCAGCAGCGGAGAAGACACACAGGCUGCUCUACUGAGACCUUCCUCUUUGUGUGUAUA